UACGGAGGGUGCAAACGUUGCUCGGAAUCAUUGGGCGUAAAGCGCACGUAGGCGGUCCAGCAAGUCGGGUGUGAAAGCCCUCGGCUUAACCGAGGAAGUGCAUUCGAAACUACUGGACUUGAAUACUGGAGAGGGUUGCGGAAUUCCCGGUGUAGAGGUGAAAUUCGAUAGAUAUCGGGAGGAACACCGGUGGCGAAGGCGGCAUCCUGGACCGGCAUUGACGCUGAGGCGCGAAAGCCAGGGGAGCAAACGGG
rnacentral:rRNA from 1 species